rnacentral:rRNA from 1 species
GUGGAUUUCUGUCGUGGUCAUCCGGCCUUGCCCGUAGGGUGUGCGCCUGGGUUGCCCGCGGCUUUCUUCCGGUAGCCUUCCGCGCUUCGCUGCGUGCGUUGGUGUUCCGGAACUUUUACUUUGAGAAAAAUAGAGUGUUUCAAGCAGGCUUGUCGCCCUGAAUACUGCAGCAUGGAAUAAUAAGAUAGGACCUUGGUUCUAUUUUGUUGGUUUCUAGGACCGAGGUAAUGAUUAAUAGGGACAGUUGGGGGCAUUCGUAUUUAACUGUCAGAGGUGAAAUUCUUAGAUUUGUUAAAGACGAACUACUGCGAAAGCAUUUGCCAAGGAUGUUUUCAUUAAUCAAGAACGACAGUAGGGGGUUUGAAGACGAUUAGAUACCGUCGUAAUCUCUACCAUAAACUAUGCCGACUAGAGAUAGGGAAACGCCUACCUUGGAUAGCUCCUG